UACGUAGGUGACCAGCGUUGUCCGGAUUUACUGGGCGUAAAGAGCGCGCAGGCGGUCGUUCAAGUCGAGUGUGAAAGCCCCCGGCUCAACUGGGGAGGGUCAUUCGAUACUGAUCGACUGGAAGGCAGGAGAGGGAAGCGGAAUUCCCGGUGUAGUGGUGAAAUGCGUAGAUAUCGGGAGGAACACCAGUGGCGAAGGCGGCUCUCUGGGACGGUACUGACGCCGAGACGCGAAAGCGUGGGGAGCGAACAGG
rnacentral:rRNA from 1 species